ACGGAGGAUGCGAGCGUUAUCCGGAUUUAUUGGGUUUAAAGGGAGCGCAGACGGGAGAUUAAGUCAGCUGUGAAAGUUUGGGGCUCAACCUUAAAAUUGCAGUUGAAACUGGUUUUCUUGAGUGCGGUUGAGGUAUGCGGAAUUCGUGGUGUAGCGGUGAAAUGCUUAGAUAUCACGAAGAACUCCGAUUGCGAAGGCAGCAUACCAAGCCGUAACUGACGUUCAUGCUCGAAAGUGUGGGUAUCAAACAGG
rnacentral:rRNA from 1 species